CAAUAGCGUAUAUUAAAGUUGUUGCGGUUAAAAAGCUCGUAGUUGGAUUUCUGCCGAGGACGUCCGGUCCGCCCUCUGGGUGUGUACAUGGUACGGCCUGGGCAUCUUCUUGGAAAACGUAUCUGCACUUGACUGUGUGGUGCGGUAUCCAGGACUUUUACUUUGAGGAAAUUAGAGUGUUUCAAGCAGGCCUACGCCUUGAAUACAUUAGCAUGGAAUAAUAAGAUAGGACCUCGGUUCUAUUUUGUUGGUUUCUAGAGCUGAGGUAAUGAUUAAUAGGGAUAGUUGGGGGCAUUCGUAUUUAACAGUCAGAGGUGAAAUUCUUGGAUUUGUUAAAGACGGACUACUGCGAAAGCAUUUGCCAAGGAUGUUUUCAUUGA
rnacentral:rRNA from 1 species